GUAGCGUGUACUUUGCAAGUACCGUGAGAAUUGCAAGCGCGCAUGUGCAAUGAAAAUUGUCAUUUCCGCCGUGAGAGUUACAAGUUUUCAGAUCAUAAUACAAGUAUUUCACUGUUAAUGAUGAUAAUCAAAUGUGUCAACAUUCGAAAACACCACAGUGAAGAUCUUGGAAUCACAUAAUUAUAUUAAGUGUGUCGGGAAACCCGCGAAUACUACGCUAGCAUCUGUAAAACGUUGUCUGUGAGCGGCGUAUGUUACACCUCGUUUGCAUACAAGAUGUAAACAAAGAUUCAACGCAGAAAAAAAUAUAACGGUUGGGAAAGCAGGUGUACCAAAAUUAAAGUUCUUACCCAGAUGAUCUCAAGGACAGCUCUACAAAGUUUGCCAGAAAUAGAAGGGACAACUUUAAGCUAAAAGCCAGCAAGUUCUUUCUGAGAGUACUCUGCGUAAGAUGGUCAAUGAGCAUCAGACUAACUGGGAUGCCUUUUUGGAUGGAGCUUUGUUUGCCAUGAGAACCAAACCACAAUCCAGCACAAAGUACAGUCCAUUCUUUCUUCUGUAUGGCCGAGAAGCAAGGUACCCAAGUCAGCUCCCAAAAGACUUUGGAAACAACUUACAGGUUAGUUCCAGUACACUUUCCUGUUAU